rnacentral:tRNA from 1 species
GGGGAUGUAGCUCAGUGGUAGAGCACUUACUUUGUAAGUAAGAAAGAUUCUGGGUUCAAUCUUUCCCA